AGACCCGAAACCCGGUGAUCUAGCCAUGGGCAGGUUGAAGGUUGGGUAACACUAACUGGAGGACCGAACCGACUAAUGUUGAAAAAUUAGCGGAUGACCUGUGGCUGGGGGUGAAAGGCCAAUCAAACCGGGAGAUAGCUGGUUCUCCCCGAAAGCUAUUUAGGUAGCGCCUCGUGAAUUCAUCUCCGGGGGUAGAGCACUGUUUCGGCUAGGGGGCCAUCCCGGCUUACCAACCCGAUGCAAACUGCGAAUACCGGAGAAUGUUAUCACGGGAGACACACGGCGGGUGCUAACGUCCGUCGUGAAGAGGGAAACAACCCAGACCGCCAGCUAAGGUCCCAAAGUCAUGGUUAAGUGGGAAACGAUGUGGGAAGGCCCAGACAGCCAGGAUGUUGGCUUAGAAGCAGCCAUCAUUUAAAGAAAGCGUAAUAGCUCACUGGUCGAGUCGGCCUGCGCGGAAGAUGUAACGGGGCUAAACCAUGCACCGAAGCUGCGGCAGCGACGC
rnacentral:rRNA from 2 species